rnacentral:rRNA from 1 species
UACGAAGGGGGCUAGCGUUGCUCGGAAUUACUGGGCGUAAAGCGCACGUAGGCGGAUUGUUAAGUCAGGGGUGAAAUCCUGGAGCUCAACUCCAGAACUGCCUUUGAUACUGGCGGUCUCGAGUCCGGGAGAGGUGAGUGGAACUGCGAGUGUAGAGGUGAAAUUCGUAGAUAUUCGCAAGAACACCAGUGGCGAAGGCGGCUCACUGGCCCGGUACUGACGCUGAGGUGCGAAAGCGUGGGGAGCAAACAGG